UGGCGGCAUGGAUUAGGCAUGCAAGUCGAACGGAGAAGCAGAUGCUUGCAUCUGUGGAUUAGUGGCGAAAGGGUGAGUAACGCGUGAAUAAUCUGCCCCUAAGUUGGGAAUAGCCUCGGGAAACUGGGAUAAUACCGGAUGUGGUCUUCUGUCGCAUGACAGAAUGACUAAAGAUUUAUCGCUUGGAGAUGAGUUCGCGUCCCAUUAGCUAGUUGGUGGGGUAACGGCCUACCAAGGCACCGAUGGGUAGCUGGUCUGAGAGGAUGAUCAGCCACACUGGGACUGAGACACUGCCCAGACUCCUACGGGAGGCUGCAGUCGAGAAUCUUCCGCAAUGGGCGAAAGCCUGACGGAGCAAUGCCGCGUGCAGGAUGAAGGCCUUAGGGUUGUAAACUGCUGUCACCGGGGACGAAAUUUGACGGUACCCGGAGAGGAAGCACCGGCUAACUACGUGCCAGCAGCCGCGGUAAUACGUAGGGUGCAAGCGUUGUUCGGAUUUAUUGGGCGUAAAGGGUCCGCAGGGGGUUUACUAAGUCUGAUGUGAAAUCCCGUGGCUCAACCACGGAACUGCAUUGGAAACUGGUAAACUAGAGUACUGGAGAGGUAAACGGAAUUCCUGGUGUAGCGGUGGAAUGCGUAGAUAUCAGGAAGAACACCGAAGGCGAAGGCGGCUCUCUGGAAUGUUACUGACGCUGAGGCACGAAAGCUGGGGGAGCAAACAGGAUUAGAUACCCUGGUAGUCCCAGCCGUAAACGGUGUCGACUUGGUGUGGGGGGAAUUGACCCCUCCCGUGCCGGAGCUAACGCGUUAAGUCGACCGCCUGGGGAGUACGGCCGCAAGGCUAAAACUCAAAGAAAUUGACGGGGGCCCGCACAAGCGGAGGAGCAUGUGGCUUAAUUCGAUGCAACGCGAAGAACCUUACCCAGACUUGACAUAUAACUGCACGUCCCAUGAAAGUGGGAUUUCUUCGAGAGUGUUAUACAGGUGCUGCAUGGCUGUCGUCAGUUCGUGCCGUGAGGUGUUUGGUUAAGUCCAGCAACGAACGCAACCCUUGUGACUAGUUGCCACCGAAGGUUCAUAGCCUUCGAGCACUCUAGUCAGACUGCCCUUGCAAGAGGGAGGAAGGUGGGGAUGACGUCAAGUCAGUAUGGCCCUUACGUCUGGGGCUGCACACGUGCUACAAUGGCCGGGACAGAAGGUUGCAAUACCGCGAGGUGGAGCUAAUCCCUAAAACCGGCCCCAGUUCGGAUUGGAGUCUGCAACUCGACUCCAUGAAGUUGGAUUCGCUAGUAACGGCGUAUCAGCUACGACGCCGUGAAUACGUUCCCGGGCCUUGUACACACCGCCCGUCACAUCAUGAAAGCCGUCUGCACCCGAAGUCGUUGAUCUAACCAUUUAUGGAGGAAGGCGCCGAAGGUGUGG
rnacentral:rRNA from 1 species